ACGAUUAAAAGUCAGGGAGGGGUAUUCUUAGGGAGGGAGGAGUUAUACAUUGUAGGGGGACAUGAAGGGUUUGGGGGAUAGCAAAAUCCUAUCUUAUGACAUGGAUGUUGUUUACAAGGGUGUUUGCUUUAUAGCAAUACAUUAAUCUACACAUUUGUCCUAUGUGGGUUUUAAAGUUUGUAUUAUAUUUAACCAUAAAGGGUGCCGCGUGUGUAUGUGUUUAAAUGAUAUCACCAUUUUCAGGACUAUAGAAGCAGUCUGAGAGGCUUUGCAGCCGAGACCAAUGCUCAAAAUCAAGCUUAGCAGGACUGGUCUGCUGAGGUGCUACAGUCCCUGCUGCUGAGCAGCAGGCCCCAAGGAUUGUCACUGAAAUAGGGACUUCCCUGGUGUUCCCGUGGUUAAGACUCCACGCUCCCAAUGCAGGGGGCACGGGUUUGACCCCUGGUCAGGGAACUAGAUCCCGCGUGCCCCAACUAAAAGCCUGCAUGCCGCAACUAAAAGAUCCCUCGCGGCCAAAUAAUAUUAAAAAAAAAAAAAAGAAUUGUCACUGAAACAAUAUAGCUGCCACCAAUGCAAAAUCUUUGCUAAGUCUAUAUAGUUCAGCCUCUGUUUCUUUGUUUUCAGUAGCUUUCGCUGCAAAGUCUGGGUUGGUUGGUGGACCCCAAAUUCCAGGCAAGUGAGGGAAAGGGAGUAUCUCUUGUUUUCAGCUUCAAAAGUGGGGGUGGGCUCUGACUCUAAGGGUCAGGGAUUCAGGUGCUGGGCGGACAAAAUGAAUGAUAAAUGCCCCUGGUGUCAGUGAUGCUCAAACUUUACUGCACGUUAGAAUAUCUGGGAAGUGCUUUUAAAAAUAACCAAUGUUAAGGUUGCACCCCAGGCCAAGUAACACAGGAUCUCUAGGGUAAGACUGUUAGUGGUUUUCUUGUUUGACUUUCUGUGUGAUUGCCAUGUGCGGCCAAGUUCAUGAACCAGUGCCUACACUCUUGCUACUCAAAGUGUGGUCUUUAGGUCAGCCACAUUGGAAUCACCUGGGAGCUUGUUAGAAAUGCAAAAUCUCAAUGCCAGGCGCGCGCGCGCACACACACACACACACACACACACACACACACACUAUGGCUGUACUGAAUUAGAAUCAUAUCUUGAAACAAGAGCCCUAGGUGCUGCUUGUUAUGCACAUUCCAAUUUGAGAAGGGCUGAUCUACACUGUUCUUCCAAGGCCAGCCCAAGUCCCACCAGCAAGGAUAUUCCCUACUCCUGAGCAGGGAAUUGACCUUGCCCUUCUCCAUCCAUUCUGUAGCACUUUUGAGCUACAUUUCCACUGGGCAUGUAUUGCAGACUUCCUUGGUUGUGGUUAAUUGUCUUAUGUUGGCUCAUCUCCUUACCAGACUGUAAGCUCUGGUGGGCAGGGACCCUGUCUCAUCUCCUUUGUGUCUUCACAGUACUUAGCGCACUGCCAUCCAAGCGGCAGGAGCUCAGGAUGUGUGAUCAGUGAACCAGUGACAGCCUUCUCCAUCUUUCUCUGGCCUCCUUGUUCCCACCCCGACUUUCAUGCAUUCACAUUUGUAUUCCAAUUUAAAGGCAACUUCAAAUAUAACCAUAAAAGAACCUUAAAAUUCAAGCCCAACCUUUUUCUGCGACUACCACCAGACACAGGAUAAGCUGGAUGACCUCGUGGAUCUCUGUUGCCUUGGAGGAGGUGGGCUAGGAAGCCCUCGGAGACUCAGUCCAAUGUAAAUAUUCUCGGAUUCUGUGGUUCCCCUCUGCCGGAUUAACCAAGACUCAAAGUACUCUUAACUCUUGCGAGUUGGCAGGGAUGGCUAUGGAGAAAUUAUAAAUUAAAUAGAGCCAUUGAGCCACCUUGUGACCAUUCCUGGGAACUGCGUUUCUUCAUUGUGCACCGGAAACUUCUCCAGAGCCCAUCAGUCUGAGAUCCGUCAUCAAGAAUUUACGGUAAACACAGCCACACAAAAUUAAAUUCUCUCUCCCAACCUCCAAUAAGAUGGGAGUAAAGGAAUUUACAAAGUAUAAUCAAUCCUACAAAAACCAAAUAAAAAAAGGCAAGAAACAUCUGUAAGAAUAAAAAAAUUUAUUUAUGCAAAUAUUGACCUAGGUCUUUAAAAAGUGGGAGAUAGAAAACAGAGCUAACUAUUCUAGAGCAGAAGUUACAACCUAAGUGUUUUCAAAGGUGGAUGCCAAUAAAAAGUGAGCAGAUUCACCCUGAAUCCCACGAGUUCCAGAGUUUAGCGGUACCAGGGACCAUGGAGAAGAUAAACAUGUGGUGAUGGGUUAAAAAUGGGGAUGGGUAGAAAGUCUGUGUAAGAAAUAAUGGGAUCCCCAGGUGUCCCCGCCCACCUCUUGCUGCCAGGAGUUGCUGCCACUCUUGCUGGAGGCUUAUUAUUUGCAGAAAUGGACUGACAGAACCUCCAGACGAGGACACAGGGCAUGGGGAAAGGUGGAGGAAUCUAUUGGAGGAUAUAUUCUAGCAAAAUGAAAAAGUACACCAGGAAAGAGGGAGACCUGAGAUCCUGCAGGGCGGUGCCGCUGGCCUAGGAAGCAACCGAUCUCUAGUGGACUGAGGACGUGGUCUUCAGAAACGCAAGUGGGAGAAAUAAUAUUGAUAGGUGAUGGAUGUUACAGAGCUGAUGGAGCAUGUGAAAAGAGUGAGGAAAGGGACCAGGCUAGGGACCAGGCUGUCUGAGAGCAGGGAUAAAAUCUGCCCGGUUUGCCACUGGAUCUCCAGUGCCUAAGUGUUCCUGGCACAUAGAAGUUGCCCAGUAAAUCAUGUUAAAGGAGUGAGUGAAUGAACACAUAAACGAGAGUUGAUGAAGCUUCACGUAUGUGCUUUGAGCCAGGCAGUACAGCAGACACCUAGAAAUACAGGAUAAAUGUAAUUUUAAAUGCAUAGCAAAAUUCUCAAGAAAGCAAGGACAACUGAGGGACAAACAGGUCACUUAGAAAUCAUAUUGCAGGGCUUUAAUUUACAGAUGUCCAGAGAUGCCACUGCUCCUUCUCCUCCCUGCUCAGUGAAAUCAGGGCUGCAUUCCCAUCACCCCAUCAGGAAAGCUCUUGCUGAGGUCAGAGCGAUGCUGAAUCUGAGAUGUUGACUCAUUAAUCUCACUCCUUCCUGAAACACCUCCUUCACUUGGAUCCCAGGACACUGCUCUCUCCCUCCCUCACUUGCUCUCCUCAGUCUCAGAGCCAGUGUCCUCUUCAUCUUCCUUUUUUUUUUAAUGGAGUAUAGUUUAUUUACAAUGCUGUGUUAGUUUCAAGUGUACAGCAAAGUGAAUCAGUUAUACAUAUACAUAUAUCCACUCUUUUUUAGAUUCUUUUCCCAUAUAGGUCAUUACGGAGUAUUGAGUAGAGUUGCCUGUGCUAAUCUGAUUUCAGCUAAUCCUGAGUUAGGACACGUACUCCAUGAGGUAUGUGUUGUUGUCCGCAUUUGGCAAGUGGAUAAAUACAAGCUCAGCAAAUUAUGUAACUUGUCAGAAUCACACCAGCAGAAAGGAAAACUCAGGCCCAUUCCCAGGUGGGUCUGACUCCCAUACCUGAUCACUUACCUUCCCUGGAAGUCCAUGCCCUAAUGGAGGGCCACUUUCACUUCUUGAUAUCUGUUGUAAAAAUAGAGCAGUACUUUAGAAAAUAAUAUGAGACGUGUGUAUACUAUAAUAUCAUCUGAGUAUGGGACUUGACCCUGCACCACAUAGAGGUAUGUUAUACACAACUGACUAGAGUUUACAAGUCCGUUUUUUAGAACUGAUUAAAUGUCUUUUAUUAAAAUUUAAAUUCCCAUAAUAUUGUAAUAAUAAGUGCUCACAUAAAAAGCAAAUAGAAUAGACUCUGGUCAUUUAUAAAAUAGCAUUAUAUGAAACGAGUCUCAAUAAAUUUUAAAAGAUUGAAAUAUUUAAAAGUAUCUUUUCUGACCACAAUGAAACUAGAAAUCAAUAAUAGAAGAGAAACUGGAAAUUUUACAAAUAUAUGAAAAUUAAACAACAUACUGUUUUUUCAAUGAAGGUAUAAUUGACAUAAAACAUAUUCAUUUCAGGUGUACAAAAUUAUGAUUCAAUGUAUGUAUAUAUUGCAAAACAAUCACUACGAUAAGUCUAGUUAACACCCAUCACCAGACAUAGUUACAGAUUUUCUUUUCCUUGUGAUAAGAAUUUUUAAGGGCUUCCCUGGUGGCGCAGUGGUUGAGAGUCCACCUGCCAAUGCAGGGUACGCGGCUUCGUGCCCCGGUCUGGGAAGAUCCCACAUGCCGCGGAGCUGCUGGGCCCGUGAGCCAUGGCCGCUGAGCCUGCGUGUCCGGAGCCUGUGCUCCGCAACGGAAGAGGCCCGCGUACCGCAUGAAAAAAAAAAAGAAUUUUUAAGAUCUACUCUCUUAGCAACUUUCAAAUAUAUAGUACAGUGUUAUUAACCACAGUCACGAUGCUGUACAUUACACCCCCUGGACUUAUUUUAUAACUGGAAGUUUGUACCUUUCGACCAUCUUCACUCAUUUCACUCCAUCUCCCAGCCCCCUGCCUCUGGUAACCACUAAUGUGUUCUCUGUAUCUAUGAGCUUGUUUUUUCAUUUGUUUUUUUGUUUGUUUGUUUUAGAUUCCACAUAUAAGUGAGAUCAUAUGGUAUUUUUCAAUUAGCAUAAUACCCUCCAUGUUGUUGAAAAUGGCAGGAUUUCCUUCUUUUUUUAUGGUUGAAUAAUAUGCCAUUGUGUAUGUAUGUGUAUAUGUCUAUCAUAUAUAUAUACAUAGUUCACAUUUUCUUUGUCCAUCGAUGGACACUUCGGUUGUUUCCAUGUCUUGACUAUUGUAAAUAAUGUUGUAACGAACAUGGGGGCAUAGAUAUCUUUUCCAGUUAGUGUUUUUCUUUCUUUCAGAUAAAUACCCAUAUGUGGAACCGCUGAAUCAUAUGGUAGUUCUAUUUUAAAUAUUUUGAGGGACCUUCAUACUGUUUUUCACAGUGACUGCACCAAGUUACAUUCUCACCACCAGUGCUCGGGGCGUUCUCUUUUCUCCACAUCCUUGCCAACACUUGUUAUUUUUUAUCUUUUUUACAACAGCAGUUCUAACAGGUGUGAGGUGAUAUCUCAUGGUGGUUUUGAUUUGUAUUUCCCUGAUGAUUAGUGAUGCUGAACAUGUUUUCGUGUACCUGUUGGCCAUUUGUAUGUGUUCUUUGGAAAAAUAUAUAUUCAGAUCCUCUGCCCAUUUUUAAAUUGGGUUGUUUGGGGUUCUCAGAUAUAUGAUUUGCAAAUGUUUUUUCCCAUUUGGUAGGUUGCAUUUUCAUUUUGUUGAUGUGCAGCAUAGUGACUACAAUUAAUAAUACUGUAUUGUAUAUUUGAAAGUUGCUAAGAGACUAGACUUUAAAAGUCUUCAUCACAAGAAAAAAAAUAGGUAACUAUGUAUGGUGAUGGAUGUUAACGAUACUUAUUGUGGUGAUCAUGUCAUAGUGUAUACAAAUAUCGAAUCAUUAUGUUAUACACCUGCAACUAAUAAUGUUAUAUGUCAAUUAUACCUCAGUAAAAACCAAAAACAAAACCCCAAAGCAAUAUGGUCUUGGCAUAAAGACAGACAUAUAGACCAAUGUAACAGGAUAGAGAGCCCAGAAAUAAACCCUCACAUACAUGGUCAAGAAUCCAACUUCCCCAGAAGGCAUUCCUACCAACUGUUCAGUCACUAUGUGAGUGACUGAGUGGGAGCUCUCCCACAAGUUCUGGAAGCUUCUUGGCUUGACAGUAAGCCCAGGGCUCUCAGUUGCCGCCUUCCAUCCCUGAUGGCUGGUUGGUGGCAAGAAGACUGGUGAAAACAGCAGCAAAGCAAGUGGUAAGGGUAAAUUUGUGAUUUGUAGUAAGUCAACUUGCCCGGUUAUAAAAAUAUCAACCGUGUUGUGUUGCCAUCUUCAAAACGUCAGAUCUUAAGUCUGGAGAAGGAAGCUCACAUCUUUCAGACCCAUGAAUAUUAUCCAGACUCUAUUGCUCAGAUAGGCAGAGCAGAGGUUUUAAUUUUAAUGAAGUCCAACCUACCAGUUUUUUCUUUUCAAAAGCGUGGAUCACGCUUCUGGUGUUGCAUCUAAAAAGUUAUCGCCCAACAUAAGGUCACUUAGGUUUUCUCCUAUGUUAUCUUCUAUGAGUUCUAUAGUUUUGUAUUUUACAUUUAGGUCUAUGGGCUAUUUUGAAUUAAUUUUUGUGAAGGGUGUAAGGUCUGGGUCUAUAUUCUCUAUCUCUCUCUUUUUUGCAUGUGGAUGUCCUGUUGUUCCAGCCCCAUUUGUUGAAAAGACUAUUCUUUCUUUUACCAUUUAAUUGCCUUUGCUCAUUCGUCAAAGAUCAGCUGACCAUAUUUGCCUGUGUCUACUUCUGGGCUCUCUAUUCUCUUCCAUUGAUCUAUUUGUCUUAUUGCUCAGAUUGGAAUAUCAGUGGAAUUAUUGGACAGUCUGUCUCAGCAACAAAAGCAAAGCUGUAGGAGCCUCAGCUAAUUCGUUGACUUGAUUCACAGAAAAGACAUUGGACAAUUUCUACAGUUUUGCUUGGUUAUUUGCUGUCGCUUGGGCCCAGAUGAUACCAAGGCCAUCUGAAAUGUUUAUUCAGGCAAGUGUGGUUCUGAAUGGUAUGAAAAACAAGUAGCACAAAAAUCUCUUUUUUAGAAAACAAUUUGAAUAAAGUCAUUUUUAAAGGAUUCUGAAGCUUAAGUCAUGAACAUAAACACCACCAUUUAAAAGCAAGAGAUGAAAAGGCGAAUGAAGCUUCAGUUUAAAGACAUCUUAGUGAUGGUGAAGCUUAAUUAGAAGAAAUUUUACAAAAUGAAAAAUAUGGAAUAAUGAAAAUAAUGAAUCAUGUUGAUUAUUUGUUACUUCUUUCCUAAUAUUAUUUAAAAUACUAUUUAGAGUCAAAAUGUUUUAUUUGUUUAAAACAUGUAUUAUUUACUUGAAAAAAAAGUGUAUCAACUAACAAAAUACCCAACUUAUAAGACGUGUAGUUUGAUUUACUGUGUUCACUAUUGACCAAAACUUAAAAUUCUAACUUCCCGAAAUAAAUAUUUCAUGAGUUAUUUAUUUUUUGGAAGGAGCAUUUCAGGAACAACCUAUAGAUAAGGAUUGGGUUCCAAUUCCUCUUUAUCCCUAUAACAUUCUCUCCUUUUAUGAUAAAAUAUAAACAUGCAAAAAAACACACCCCUUGAAUAGGCUCCUUUCUACAUUUUUUUGCCUAAUGAACUACAUUAGGUAAAUUACAAAGGUCAACCAAACUGUGGUUCUUUUCUACUUUGCAGGAUUCUAAGACACUUUAUAGUUCACACCACAGAAAUAAGAAAGAACAUCUUCAAUGAAUUCUUAACUGUAGAGAACCUAUGAGAAGGAAAUUAACACAAUGUUAUGCGAUGACAAAAUGAGGGCUGAAAGUCAACAAAUUGACCUCAUUUUAAAAAUGUCGGGCUUCCCUUGUGGUGCAGUGGUUAAGAAUCUGCCUGACAAUGCAGGGGACACGAGUUCGAGCCCUAGUCCAGGAAUAUCCCACAUGCCGCAGAGCAACUAAGCCCGUGCGCCACAAGUACUGAGCCUGCGCUCUAGAGCCCACGAGCCACAACUACUGAAGCCCGUGUGCCUAGAGCCCGUGCUCCGCAACAAGAGAAGCCACCGCAAUGAGAAGCCAGUGCACUGUAACGAAGAGUAGCCUCUGCUCGCCGCAACUAGAGAAAAGCCCGUGCAGCAACGAAGACCCAACGCAGCCAUAAAUAAAUAAAUAAAUAAGAAAAAAGUGAAUGGCUUUAAAAUAAAUAUUCCCAGCCCUUUAUAAGAACACACGAUGACAUGAGAAUUCCCUGGUGGUCCAGUGGUUAGGACUCCACACUUUCACUGUCGAGGGUACGAGGGUUCCCUGGUCAGGGAACUAAGAUCCCACAAGCUGUGUGGCUGGGCCAAAAAAAAAAGAACACAUGGUGACAAUAUCCAUAUGGUGCUUCAAACAUCAACAGGAAGACUUCCAGACUGUUCUUUGGUCUAUCCAGCCUACUAGCAGAGGGGGAAGUGCUUAUGGUGUUCCAGCCACAGAACUAUGCAGCAAGUGGACAGAAUUGUGGACAUAUUUCCCUCAGAGGACAACACAGACUUCUUAGUUGUUUUCAACUCUGAAAAGCCUCUAUCACCUGGACUCUACAGAUGGUGCUGCUGGGAGUACAGUCCCCAAAUCACUAAAAGGAAGCAGUAGUCCUUGAAGAAAUGGCUGAUUCCAGAGCUGGGCAGGCAAAGGGCAGAAUGACCCUGGAACAUCCUAUUGUUUCAGAAAGUAAGGAAAAUUCCAAAGAAUUAUGGGUGCAUGCCAAUGGCACACAGGAACUAGCUGAAAGAUGCUCCCUUUGGUCAAAUAUAGGACAGUUUGAGCAUCAAAAUAAAGAAUUUAAAAGAAUUCAUGAAUUGAUAAUAAAUAAGGGGCUGAGGGCAAGCUCCUCUUUGUAGUGGAAUGCCAACUAAUACAUGUUUAAGGAAUGACAGAGUUAGAAAAUCACCAUUUAGUAAACAUCACAGUAAUAAUUGACUCAGGCAAGAAUCAGCAAUGGAUGCUAUCAUUGGGUGCAAGUGUGCUGGGGAACAGGAUGUUGUGAACAGUCACAAACAUCUUCCCACCAAUUCUCUGUUAAUCACAAAGGGAAAAAAGGUGCCUUUAUAGUGCGGACACCUGGCAAACACAACCUGAACCAAGUGAUCCAAGUUAGCAUCACAAAAAGUGGGACAAACUGACAUCACUUGCCUCCUGGUAUGGUGCACUGAGUAUUCCUGACAGUGAUGCAUCAGGCAAAACUGGUCAUUCUACGGAACACAUGGUCUACACUCUUCAAAAUACCAAUGUCUUAAAAGCAAAAAAAAAAAAAGGCUGAGAAAAUGUUCGAGCUUAGAGACAUGGUAACUAAAUACAGUGCAUGAUUCUAGAUUAAAUCUUGGGAAAAGAUGCUAUAAAGGACAAUACUGGGAUAAAAAAUUGAAUGUUGACUGAAUAUUAUGUAUCAAUAUUAAAUUUCCUGAAUUUAAUAAUUGAACUGUGGCUGUGUAAGAGAAUGUCCUACUUCUUAGGAAGCACAUACCGAAGUAUUCAUGGGCAAAGGAGCGUGAUGUCUUGAACUUGCUUUCAAAUGGCUCAGAAAAGAAAAGAAUAAUACGUAUUAUAUUGUGAAUCGAGGUUAAAGGCACAUGGGAGUUUGUUAUAAUAUUUUUACAACCUUUCUAUAGGUCUAGCUCUUUUCAAAAUAAAAAGUUUAAUAGAAAAAUAAGGUUGGGGCACUUCCGCUUCUGGUAAUGGUUGAGUAAAUCCUAUGAAAGCAACCUCCACAGGGGGAAAAAUUAAAAAAAGAUGAACUCUGGACUUUAUACAAAAAAUCAGCUAAAUAAAGCCCCUAGAGAGUGAACUAUUUAUUUACCAAAUAAAAAAAAUAAAAGUGAAACAAUAUCUCUAAAGGCUGAAAGAAAAAGAAAGUCAACCCAGAAGUCUAUAUCCCAUGAACACAUCCUUCAGAAAAAAGGGAAAAUAGACAUUCUCAGUUAAAAGAGGGGAAAAAAAAAAAAGAA